UACGGACAUAUCAUGUUAACAUAUCGGUUCCCGUAUGAUCACCGAAAUUAAGUAACGUUGAGCCUGGUCAAUACCUAGAUGAGUGACUGCUUGGGAACACCAGGUGUUAUA